CAGUCGCCGCGGGAAUACGGAGGGUGCAAGCGUUAAUCGGAAUUACUGGGCGUAAAGCGCACGCAGGCGGUCUGACAAGUCAGAUGUGAAAUCCCCGGGCUUAACCUGGGAACUGCAUUUGAAACUGUCAGGCUGGAGUCUUGUAGAGGGGGGUAGAAUUCCAGGUGUAGCGGUGAAAUGCGUAGAGAUCUGGAGGAAUACCGGUGGCGAAGGCGGCCCCCUGGACAAAGACUGACGCUCAGGUGCGAAAGCGUGGGGAGCAAACAGGAUUAGAUACCCGUGUAGUCCCUGUCUCUUAUAU
rnacentral:rRNA from 1 species